UGAAUAGCACAGCCGAAUUUCCUAAGGAAAACGGGGGAACCAUAAAGUUGUCAAAUGAGUGGAACAAGCUGCAAGCAAAAGCGGUUCAAAUUUGGCGGCAUGGGGUGAAUUUUAGCGGAGGAGCAUGAUCUCUUGCCGCCGAAUAGGGCUGCCUGUCCAGGCCCGAAUCCGACAGCUAACCUCGUAGGCGUAUUGGAACAGGACU
rnacentral:sRNA from 2 species